UACGGGGGGGGCAAGCGUUGUUCGGAAUUACUGGGCGUAAAGGGCUCGUAGGCGGCCAACUAAGUCGGAUGUGAAAUCCCCAGGCUUAACCUGGGAAUUGCAUCCGAUACUGGAUGGCUUGAAUCCGGGAGAGGGAUGCGGAAUUCCAGGUGUAGCGGUGAAAUGCGUAGAUAUCGGGAGGAACACCAGUGGCGAAGGCGGCAUCCUGGACCGGCAUUGACGCUGAGGAGCGAAAGCCAGGGGAGCAAACGGG
rnacentral:rRNA from 1 species